GGGGACGUAGCUCAGUCGGUAGAGCACCUGCUUUGCAAGCAGGGGGUCGGCGGUUCGAGUCCGCUCGUCUCCA
rnacentral:tRNA from 1 species